rnacentral:rRNA from 1 species
GCAUCGAUGAAGAACGCAGCAAACUGCGAUAAGUAAUGCGAAUUGCAGAAUUCAGCGAGUCAUCGAAUCUUUGAACGCACAUUGCGCCCGCCAGCACUCUGGCGGCAUGCCUGUCCGAGCGUCAUUU